rnacentral:rRNA from 3 species
UACGGAGGGGGCUAGCGUUGUUCGGAAUUACUGGGCGUAAAGCGCACGUAGGCGGCUUUGCAAGUCAGAGGUGAAAGCCCGGGGCUCAACCCCGGAAUUGCCUUUGAGACUGCAUCGCUUGAACAUCGGAGAGGUAAGUGGAAUUCCGAGUGUAGAGGUGAAAUUCGUAGAUAUUCGGAAGAACACCAGUGGCGAAGGCGACUUACUGGACGAUUGUUGACGCUGAGGUGCGAAAGCGUGGGGAGCAAACAGG